rnacentral:lncRNA from 1 species
AAAGAAAAAGUAUCCAGUGGCUGCAAAGAUUCCUAAGAGUUUAAGCCCCCGUAACAGCAACAACAUCCACUGAAAUGUGACAUCUUUAUUCCAUGGGAGCACUCUGGAUGUUGCACUGAAGAGUGCUUUGUUGCUGAAGUGGCAGGCUAGAAGUUGUUCCUGAAACAGAUCUUACCCUUCAUCAGACUAUUUCUGUGUUCUGAAUAUCCAGUGGUACCAAUUAAUGCUUGCAGAUUAUUAAUUAAUGAAGCAGCCUGGGAGGAUUUAUGAUGAAAGACUCUCUGGGCGUUAAGGCGGCUGUUCUGGACACCCUGGAUCCUCCGAGUAGGAUUGACAUCUGCAAGAACAAGGAAAAGCCAAGGGAAAGCCUGAUAUGGAGGGAGACAGCCCUCAUAUGUAACCUGGGAGCUCUCCCUGCGCUGCAGCCAAGAGAUUGUGCCUCACGUGUGUGCAUUGCAGAAGCAGCCAGCCUCAGUGUGACUGAGGAGAAUGAUGGCUUUAUCUUCAACUGCAGUCCUCUGAGAGAUACUAGAGACUGCAAGUUGCAGAGAAAGGACUUGAUUCCACUGAACAAUCAUGACAAGUAAGUAUUUGAAUUUUGCUUCAAGAUCAAGUCUUCAUGAGCAAAGUUUCUAGCAAUUUAGUCUUUAUUUAAAAAACAUCACUCCAGAAGAAAUGACAAAGGGAUUUAAAAUUGAAUUCAUAAGUAAAUUUUUAGUCAUGAUCAGAAGUUUCCUUCACAGCAACACAUAGACGUAUUUUAAUGUUACAUUUUGUAUCAAAAAGCUAUCAUCCCAGAAUAAUUUCUUUAUAAACUCUUACUACAAAGACUUUGCAAAGGGACUGGCAGAUGACAUCCUACACCCAGACAGUACUUCCCAGCUGCUGAGAGGACUUGGCCAUACUUGCAUGGUGUGACAGGUUCACAGCUUGGGGUGACAGAACUCUCCAUUUAACUUUGGCAGGAGCAGGUCAGGGCUCCUGCAGCCAUCUCAGGGCUUCUCCAAAUGGAAGCAAAGCUGUUGCUUCCCUAAAGAUCAACAGAUAGGGUUGACCUGAGGGUACAAGACAGUGGAUAUUAGAUGGGAGAUGAUGGGUGGUGGUGGUGGGAGGGUGGAAGGAACAUUCCUGAAGAACUGAACUUAGUAUGUGAUAUUUUUGGACGGUGGGGUGGGAGACAGGGAGCUUAGGUCCUGACACUCUUUACAUGUUUUAAUGGUGGGACUUGUUAAGUCAGGUUGAUGGUUGGACAUGAUGAUCUUGAAGGACUUUUCCAUCUUAAAUAGUUCUAUCAAAUGAUUUUGUCAUUUACAGGGCAAUAGCAGAAAAGCCUGAUUUUCCUGGGUCCUGGAAUAAGGAAAAUAAAAUACAGCCAGUUUCUUGCCCUGACA